rnacentral:rRNA from 1 species
GGUUUAUAGAAAAAUAAUUAUAAAUUUGUUCUGCCCAAUGAAUAAAUUAUUUUAAUGGCUGCAGUAUAUUGACUGUGCAAAGGUAGCAUAAUCAAUUGUCUUUUAAUUGAAGGCUUGGAUGAAAGAAUUGACGAGAUAAAAAUUGUCUCAAAAUAAUAAUUUUAAAAUUUAAAUUUUAAGUAAAAAUGCUUAAAUUUAUUUAAAAGACGAGAAGACCCUUUAGAAUUUUAUAAUUAUUUUAUAAAAUAUAUAUUAAAUUUAUAUAGUUAAUAAAAGAAUUAUUUUAUUGGGAGGAUAAUUAAAUUUAUUUAACUUUAAUUAAUUAUAAACAUUGAUUAAUGAAUAAUUGAUUAUUAUUAUAAUUAUAAGAAAAAAUUACCUUAGGGAUAACAGCGUAAUAUUUUUGGAGAGAUCAUAUUGAUAAAAAUGUUUGCGACCUCGAUGUUGAAUUAAGAUUUAGUUUAAUUGCAGAAGGUUAAAUUUUUAGUCUGUUCGACUAUUAAAAUCUUACA